GUACUAAUUACCUCUCCAGUUGGUUAGAGCGUGGUGCUAAUAGCGUUGAAAGCGGUUAACGCCAAGGUCGCGAGUUCGACCCUCGUAGUGACC